UUCACCUGCAUCAUGAUAAUACAGGGUUUACUGGCCUUCACCCAGCAGCUUAACAUUUUUUGUUGUUUGUUGGUUUGUUUGUUUGUUUUUUCCCCAGCAGAGAAAGAUCCUUUAGCUGGGCUCUCGGGGUAUACUCUUUCCCGUGCCUGGAACACUGAUGGUGUUUCUCUCUGCUUUGAAUCUUUCUCAGGCCCAGUGAAAUUCUACUGAGAUGAACCUGAAAGUGAGUGCGGUCAAUUUUGUGUCUGUACUCACCACGGCUUAUAUAUCACUACCCCCACCGCCCACUCAGCCUUCAGCAAUUCCUUAGAAAACUUCAUCUGAAAGCUCCUUACCUUGUUCUACGGUCACCGACUUCCUCCCAUCCUCUGACCCAGGCUCAGGUUGAUGACGGUCAUAUGAGAACUUUUAAGGACUGCUAAGGUGAAAUUUUGGAAGAGAAUGCUUGCAUAAUUUUAAGUUACUCUUCUUUACCUGGAAGAGUCCAUCUGUGUCUGCAAACUCAUUUAUCCAGGUUGAAAACUACAACUGCCACAAGGGAGGAGAGGAAAGGAGGAGGAGACUGACUCCCCAACACUCAGGUCAUUGGAUUAGCUCUCCUACUGUCUAUAGGACACAACACUCUUGGAUGGGAGUAUGGAGUGAGCCAAAUCCACCAGUCACUGGACUGCCCCUGGGAAGGAGCUUGAUGGAUGCUGUCUGCCACCAGCACCUCCAGCAGAUGGAAACUUAAUUCUCAUUCCUAUUG